UAGAACAAUGUAGGUAAGGGAAGUCGGCAAGUCAGAUCCGUAACUUCGGGAUAAGGAUUGGCUCUAACAUGCUGACCAGACCAGACACGUCACGUGCGCGAGCGUUGCAAAAUAAAUUCAGAAAUCCAUGUUAUUCAAUUAUUGCACCCACACUGCUCGUGCGUGCCAACGAGUGUCUGCGUUGCCAAGGGAUAAAAUAGAAGUCAUUCCUAUUUCUGACGCAGAUUGCGCUGCAAGUCCUGCCUCUCCCAUCUCCUCAUUGGUUUAUAGAACCAGGUACCCACGUGCCAUCUUCUCAUUGGUUAUACCCACGUGGGUGAUUGAAAGAAGAACUGUUUUGCCAGUCGUUGUAGUAAUACUAUGAACGUUUAGAUGCCAAUCACCAUAUAAGUUCAAAGAUGAAAUAGCCUGGAAGGAGGAGAGAUCACUAGAAACGAUUCGGUUGACUGUUUUAUGUGUGGAUUAAUUGUCGGAGUAGAGGACCUUGUGCAUUUCAGGUAAAAUAACAACUCAAUGUUUAUAUCCUAGGACAAAUUAGCUAGCAACAGCAAGCUAGCUAAAUAGGACAAAUUAGCUAGCAUGUGCAAGCUAGCUAGCUAAAUUGCCAUACAUGUUGAAUGGUUUUCGACCUGUCCCCAAAUUAAUGUAAUUGGUUCAGAGUUUGUUUUGAUAUUUUUAACCUGCAUGUCAUGAUCGCGUUUGGUGUGGGGGGACAAAAUACAUUUGUGCACGAUGGCACACGCGCGCAGCCGGUUUGGGUUCUGGUGUAAGGGCUGGGUCGGUCGGGCUGGGGUGCGAAGUGGGGAUCGAGCCGCUGUUGGGAGAGCAGUCGCUCCGUCGACCUCCUCACGACAUUGUUGCAAGUUCGUUGUGCGGCUCAUCUCGCGGUAUGUCGUGCGUAGUCUCGCAAGGGGCUGGCUGCGUGCGGGGGUUCGUCGGGGUGGUGUCCGUCGGCAGGCCAAAGGUGGACCGGGUGGGGGGGAUCUCCCAGCUACGGCGCUCGCCGGCCCUGUUCACGUUGGGUCUCCAGCGAGUCGCAUUGGCCUGCGCCUAGCAGCUAACUUAGAACUGGUGUGGACCCGGGGAAUCCGACUGUUUCAUUAAAACAAAGCAUUGCGAAGGUCCGAGGUGGGUGUUGACGCGAUGUGAUCUCACCCCAGUGCUCUGAAUGUCAAAGUGAAGAAAUUCAAUGAAGCGCGGGUAAACAGCGGUAGUAACAAUGACUCUCUUAAUGAGUCCUUAGCCUUAGUAAGGGACAUAACGAGGUAGCCCUCUAGCAGGGCUCUUCCAAUCCCUCCCUGUAUAUCACCUGUUUUCAGGUGUUGCUAACAAUGAAAACCAAACGGGAGUUACCUCGGUACUAGUCCGUACGCAAAGAGAGUCCUGCAGAUGGUGACGGCUGUUGAUCAUUAAACGGAAGGCGGCAGUCGGUCCUGGAAUAUGGGGCUUUCGGUCAAGCAUGAAAAUGUGAGGGAGGUUCCACCAGACUCAAUGAUUUGCUGCGGGGCUCUUGUAAACGAAUCCUGACCUUGACAGGAAGCCAAUCAGAGAAUGAUGGCUCGAAAGCAUCCCUGGCUUUGGCUGGGAGGGGGGAGUUAAGUCCUGGGAGACGGCUGAUGAAAGUGUACUGCUGGUAUCAGUCUGAUCACAGAGCGGCUGUGGUGAAACGUUUAACACGCGUCGCCCGUAUACUUUGCUAACUCUAAACCGCGAAGGUUUGAAUCGAACGCUGGCUUCGGCUGGACCCGCUAACAGUGGAGCACUAAAUGGAGAUGGAAUGUGCUUAGCGGUUAGGGACACUGCCAAGUCUCAGGUCCGCCUGGGUGCGGGACUCUACACAUUCUAUGUGGGAGCUCUCCUCCACGUUCCUUGGAGCAUGUAGUGGAGAUUGCAUGUGCCUUACCAUUAGCUGACACUACCAGGCCUCACUAGACUCGAGGCAGAGACUAAACCCAAUGGCCCCGCAGUGAUAGGGCAUUGCAUGGAUCUGGAUCAUGCCCUACGAAGUGGGGAGAGGUAUCUCCAGCUUGUCUGGGGAGAGAGGUCUACAUCUGAUGUAAGUAGUACCAUCCACACCCAUUGAUUUGCUGCAGACCCAUAAAACGGACGGAUGAAGCCUAGGUUCCCACUGGGCACGGAUCACUGAAUGUCAACUUGAUGAAAUUCAAAGAAGCAUACCCACCUGUCGCAGUCACACUCAAAUCACCCAAGCACAUUUGGUGUAUGUGCUUGGCUGAGGAGCCAAUGAUGCGAAGCUACCAUCUGUGGUAUUAUGACUGAAUGCCUCUAAGUCAGAAUCCCCCCUAAACGUAACGAUACCGUAGCACCACGGAUCUUCGGUUGGCCUGGGAUAGCCUGCCUCUUUUGGCAGAUGAGUAGAGCCAUUCGUGACGGGGUUGGGGUGCGGCCGGAUGACUUGCCGCCCCUCUCCUGAUGUGCAUCGCAUGUUUGUGGGGAACUUGGUGCUAAAUCACUCGUAGACGACCUGAUUCUUGGUUAGGGCUUCGUACAUAGCAGAGCAGCUCACUCGCUGCGAUCUAUUGAAAGUCAGCCCUCAAUCCAAGCUUU
rnacentral:ncRNA from 1 species